UGGGGGAAUAUUGCACAAUGGGGGAAACCCUGAUGCAGCGACGCCGCGUGAAGGAAGAAGUAUCUCGGUAUGUAAACUUCUAUCAGCAGGGAAGAUAAUGACGGUACCUGACUAAGAAGCCCCGGCUAACUACGUGCCAGCAGCCGCGGUAAUACGUAGGGGCAAGCGUUAUCCGGAUUUACUGGGUGUAAAGGGAGCGUAGACGGAGUGGCAAGUCUGAUGUGAAAAGGCAUGGGCUCAACCUGUGGACUGCAUUGGAAACUGUCAAUCUUGAGUGCCGGAGGGUAAGCGGAAUUCCUAGU
rnacentral:rRNA from 1 species